rnacentral:rRNA from 1 species
UACGUAGGGGGCUAGCGUUGUCCGGAAUCAUUGGGCGUAAAGAGCGCGUAGGCGGUCAGAUAAGUCCGGUGUGAAAGUCAAAGGCUCAACCUUUGAAUGCCGCUGGAAACUGUCUGGCUAGAGUCCGGGAGGGGCGAGUGGAAUUCCUGGUGUAGCGGUGAAAUGCGCAGAUAUCAGGAGGAACACCAAUGGCGAAGGCAGCUCGCUGGAACGGUACUGACGCUGAGGCGCGAAAGCGUGGGGAGCGAACAGG